UGUUACGUGCUAAUGCUUGCCUUCCUAUGCAGUUUAAAAUGUCUGACGUGGAAGAGUUUCGUUGCUUCAUUGGUGGCCUUGCAUGGUCAACGUCUGAUAGAAAGUUAAAGGAUACAUUUGAAAAGUUUGGCAAGCUUAUUGAGGCAAAGGUGGUUGUUGACAAGUUCUCUGGGCGUUCUCGUGGUUUUGGAUUUGUCACAUUUGAUGACAAGAAAGCAAUGGACGAGGCUAUUGAUGCUAUGAAUGGGAUAGAUUUAGACGGGCGAACUAUUACUGUUGAUAGAGCUCAGCCUCAACAGGAUCAACUAGAGAUGAUGGUGAUCGUUACCGGGAGCGUGGUCGUGAUCGUGAUCGUAACCGAGAUUAUGGAGGUGGAGGUGGUCGAGGAUCUAAUGGUGGUGAAUGCUUUAAGUGUGGAAAACCUGGUCAUUUUGCUAGGGAAUGCCCUGGUGAAGGGUCCAGGGGAGGAAGGUAUGGUGGGUAGGGAAAGUAGAUAUGGGUGGAAGCAGUCGUGGUGGUUAUGGACCGGAUAGAAAUGCAGAUCGUUCUUCAGGGGGCGCAGCAGGGAUGGUGGUAGUCAUGGGGAUUCUGGAAGUGAUCGAUAUUAUCGUGAUCGUUCAGGACCAUAUGAGCGGGAGCGACGGGGAUCGGGAGGCUUUCGUUGAUAUAAUAUAGUCUUUCAAUGAGAUAUGAAAUUGAAGAGGUCGCUGUUAAUGUUUCAACUUUCCUUUUCAUUUGCACUUGACAAUGCUCUUUGGACUUCUGGGAUUGUUGUUUGGAUGGAUCAUUGAUACCAGUAUUUUGAUAUGCAAUACUCAACACAUUAUGCAAACUCUUUAUGUUCCUAAAUGCUGAUCUUUUGGUCUAGUGAAAUCUUAUGCAUGCUUGACUUGCGGUCAAAUUCAA